GGCCGAGUGGCGGAACUGGCAGACGCGCCGGAUUCAAAAUCCGGUGCCCGCAAGGGCGUGUCGGUUCGAGUCCGACCUCGGCUA
rnacentral:tRNA from 1 species